GCAUUUCAAUCUUGUGACUUAGGCAUUGAUCUUCUUUACACUUUAGUCUAGUAAAAUGUUAGAAUACAUAGUUUAUAAGCAUAUUGUCGAAUUCGUUGAAUCACAUAAUCCCUAUCUAAGUUUUAACAUGGCAUUUUGCAUGGAUUUAGUACCAUCUUGCCGUUUAUGGAAUUCACUCAUGGACUCACUCAUGCUUUUGACAUCAGAAU
rnacentral:lncRNA from 1 species